rnacentral:rRNA from 1 species
GACGAACGCUGGCGGCGUGCCUAAUACAUGCAAGUCGAACGCAGGGGGGACGGGUGAGUAACACGUGGGUAACCUCCCAUCAGAGGGGAUAACACUUGGAAACAGGUGCUAAACCGAUACUGAUGGAUGAACCAGCGGUGCAUUAGCUAGUUGGUGAGGUAACGGCUCACCAAGGCCACGAUGCAUAGCCGCCGUGAGAGGGGUACCGGCCACACUGGGACUGAGACACGGCCCAGACUCCUACGGUAGGCAGCAGUAGUGAAUCUUCGGCAAUGGCCGAAAGUCUGACCGAGCCACGCCGCGUGAGUGAAGACGGUUUUCGGAUCGUAAAGCUCUGUUGUUAGAGAAGCGGUGUCUAACCAGAAAGCCACGGCUAACUACGUGCCAGCCGCCGCGGUAAUAC